rnacentral:rRNA from 1 species
AUUGAACGCUGGCGGCAUGCCUUACACAUGCAAGUCGAACGGUAACGCGGGGCAACCUGGCGACGAGUGGCGAACGGGUGAGUAAUGUAUCGGAACGUGCCCAGUUGUGGGGGAUAACUGCUCGAAAGAGCAGCUAAUACCGCAUACGACCUGAGGGUGAAAGCGGGGGAUCGCAAGACCUCGCGCAAUUGGAGCGGCCGAUAUCAGAUUAGGUAGUUGGUGGGGUAAAGGCUCACCAAGCCGACGAUCUGUAGCUGGUCUGAGAGGACGACCAGCCACACUGGGACUGGGACACGGCCCAGACUACUACGGGAGGCAGCAGUGGGGAAUUUUGGACAAUGGGCGCAAGCCUGAUCCAGCCAUGCCGCGUGCGGGAAGAAGGCCUUCGGGUUGUAAACCGCUUUUGUCAGGGAAAAAAAGGCUCCUGUUAAUACCGGGGGCUCAUGACGGUACCUGAAGAAUAAGCAUCGGCUAACUACGUGCCAGCCGCCGCAGUAA